rnacentral:misc_RNA from 1 species
GAUGAAGAACGCAGCGAAAUGCGAUAAGUAAUGUGAAUUGCAGAAUUCAGUGAAUCAUCGAGUCUUUGAACGCACAUUGCGCCCCCUGGUAUUCCGGGGGGCAUGCCUGUCCGAGCGUCAUUGCUGCCCUCAAGCACGGCUUGUGUGUUGGGCCCCCGCCCCCCGGUCCCGGGGGGCGGGCCCGAAAGGCAGCGGCGGCACCGCGUCCGGUCCUCGAGCGUAUGGGGCUUUGUCACCCGCUCUGUAGGCCCGGCCGGCGCCCGCCGGCGACCCCAAUCAAUCUUUUUCAGGUCGACCUCGGAUCAGGUAGGGAUACCCGCUGAACUUAAGCAUAUCAAUAAGCGGAGGA